rnacentral:rRNA from 1 species
GGGAUCAUUACACAAUAACAAGGCGGGCUGGACACCCCCCGCUGGGCACUGCUUCACGGCGUGCGCGGCGGGGCCGGCCCUGCUGAAUUAUUCACCCGUGUCUUUUGCGUACUUCUUGUUUCCUGGGUGGGCUCGCCCGCCCUCAGGACCAACCACAAACCUUUUGCAAUAGCAAUCAGCGUCAGUAACAACGUAAUUAAUUACAACUUUCAACAACGGAUCUCUUGGUUCUGGCAUCGAUGAAGAACGCAGCGAAAUGCGAUACGUAGUGUGAAUUGCAGAAUUCAGUGAAUCAUCGAAUCUUUGAACGCACAUUGCGCCCUUUGGUAUUCCAAAGGGCAUGCCUGUUCGAGCGUCAUUUGUACCCUCAAGCUUUGCUUGGUGUUGGGCGUCUUUUGUCUCCAGUUCGCUGGAGACUCGCCUUAAAGUCAUUGGCAGCCGGCCUACUGGUUUCGGAGCGCAGCACAAGUCGCGCUCUUUGCCAGCCAAGGUCAGCGUCCAGCAAGCCUUUUUUUCAACCUUUGACCUCGGAUCAGGUAGGGAUACCCGCUGAACUUA